AGUGAACGCUGGCGGUAGGCCUAACACAUGCAAGUCGAACGGCAGCACAGUAAGAGCUUGCUCUUACGGGUGGCGAGUGGCGGACGGGUGAGGAAUACAUCGGAAUCUACUUUUUCGUGGGGGAUAACGUAGGGAAACUUACGCUAAUACCGCAUACGACCUACGGGUGAAAGCAGGGGAUCUUCGGACCUUGCGCGAUUGAAUGAGCCGAUGUCGGAUUAGCUAGUUGGCGGGGUAAAGGCCCACCAAGGCGACGAUCCGUAGCUGGUCUGAGAGGAUGAUCAGCCACACUGGAACUGAGACACGGUCCAGACUCCUACGGGAGGCAGCAGUGGGGAAUAUUGGACAAUGGGCGCAAGCCUGAUCCAGCCAUACCGCGUGGGUGAAGAAGGCCUUCGGGUUGUAAAGCCCUUUUGUUGGGAAAGAAAAGCAGCAGGUUAAUACGCCGCUGUUCUGACGGUACCCAAAGAAGAAGCACCGGCUAACUUCGUG
rnacentral:rRNA from 1 species